AUACAAAUCACCUGGGGAUCUUGCUAAAAUGCAGAUUCGGAUUCAGUAGAUCGGAGUUGAGGCCUGGGACUCUGCAUUCUAACAAGCUCCCAGGGGAUGCCCGU
rnacentral:pre_miRNA from 1 species